AGUGAACGCUGGCGGUAGGCCUAACACAUGCAAGUCGAACGGCAGCACAGUAAGAGCUUGCUCUUACGGGUGGCGAGUGGCGGACGGGUGAGGAAUACAUCGGAAUCUACUUUUUCGUGGGGGAUAACGUAGGGAAACUUACGCUAAUACCGCAUACGACCUACGGGUGAAAGCAGGGGAUCUUCGGACCUUGCGCGAUUGAAUGAGCCGAUGUCGGAUUAGCUAGUUGGCGGGGUAAGGGCCCACCAAGGCGACGAUCCGUAGCUGGUCUGAGAGGAUGAUCAGCCACACUGGAACUGAGACACGGUCCAGACUCCUACGGGAGGCAGCAGUGGGGAAUAUUGGACAAUGGGCGCAAGCCUGAUCCAGCCAUACCGCGUGGGUGAAGAGGGCCUUCGGGUUGUAAAGCCCUUUUGUUGGGAAAGAAAAGCAGCAGGUUAAUACCCCGCUGUUCUGACGGUACCCAAAGAAUAAGCACCGGCUAACUUCGUG
rnacentral:rRNA from 1 species